CCCUUAGAUGUUCUGGGCUGCACGCGCGCUACACUGAUGCAUCCAACAAGUUUUCUCCCUUGUUCGGUAGGACUGGGUAAUCUUUUGAGUAUGCAUCGUGAAGGGGAUAGAUUAUUGCAAUUAUUAAUCUUCAACGAGGAAUUCCUAGUAAGCGCGAGUCAUCAGCUCGCGUUGACUACGUCCCUGCCCUUUGUACACACCGCCCGUCGCUCCUACCGAUUGAAUGGUCCGGUGAAGUGUUCGGAUCGCGCCGACGUGGGCGGUUCGCCGCCGGCGACGUCGCGAGAAGUCCACUGAACCUUAUCAUUUAGAGGAAGGAGAAGUCGUAACA
rnacentral:rRNA from 1 species